GAUGAAGAACGCAGCGAAAUGCGAUAAGUAAUGCGAAUUGCAGAUUUCAGUGAAUCAUCGAAUCUUUGAACGCACAUUGCGCCCGCCAGUAUUCUGGCGGGCAUGCCUGUUCGAGCGUCAUUUCAACCCUCAGGCCCCGCCUGGCGUUGGGGAUCGGCGCGGCCCUCUCCGGGCUGCCGGCCCCGAAAACUAGUGGCGGUCUCGCUGUAGUCCUCCUCUGCGCAGUAGCAACGCUCGCACUGGAACUCGGCGCGGCCACGCCGUAAAACACCCCACUUCUGAAAGUUGACCUCGGAUCAGGUAGGAAUACCCGCUGAACUUAAGCAUAUCAAUAAGCGGAGGA
rnacentral:misc_RNA from 1 species